rnacentral:rRNA from 1 species
UACGUAGGGUGCAAGCGUUUGUCCGGAAUUAUUGGGCGUAAAGAGCUCGUAGGCGGCUUGUCGCGUCGGCUGUGAAAACCUGGGGCUCAACCCCCGGGCCUGCAGCCGAUACGGGCAAGCUAGAAUUCGGUAGGGGAGACUGGAAUUCCUGGUGGUAGCGGUGAAAUGCGCAGAUAUCAGGAGGAACACCGGUGGCGAAGGCGGGUCUCUGGGCCGAUAUUGACGCUGAGGAGCGAAAGCGUGGGGAGCGAACAGG